rnacentral:rRNA from 1 species
AUUGAACGCUGGCGGCAGGCCUAACACAUGCAAGUCGAGCGAGCGGCGGACGGGUGAGUAAUGUAUGGGGACUGCCCGAUAGAGGGGGAUAACUACUGGAAACGGUGGCUAAUACCGCAUACUAUCGGAUAACCCAUAUGGGAUUAGCUAGUAGGUGGGGUAAUGGCUCACCUAGGCGACGAUCCCUAGCUGGUCUGGGAGGAUGAUCAGCCAAACUGGAACGGGGAAACGGCCCAGACUCCUACGGAGGCAGCAGUGGGAAAAUUUGCAUAAGGGGCGCAGGCCUGAGGCAGCCAUGCCGCGUGUAUGAAGAAGGCCUUAGGGUUGUAAAGUACUUUCGGCGGGGAGGCGUUACCCGCAAAAGAAGCACCGGCUAACUCCGUGCCAGCAGCCGCGGUAAAC